UAAGCAAACUUUAAAGUUAUAAAUGAGGGCUCUAUAUGUGCUAUGCAUAAUGCAUGCUACAAGUACAUGUAGCGCAUGCAACCACCGAGCACAAAUCUAUGCAAACAGCAUUAAAUUAUAUGAAUGCAAAAUCCCAAAAAUAAAAUGAAAAAAGGAAAAAGAAAAGAGUGUGGGGUUGGAUGAGGUGGGGGACAAUGAAGCCUUGGGAUCCUUCACAUUUACUGCCAAAGAUUGAAGCUUUGAAUCUUCGUAGUCUUAGACAAAUACCUCUAGCUGGCCCUCUCGUCCCAUAACAAAUUUGACAGUGAUUAGACCCUCACUAGGCUCUUCUCCCACUGCUCUCUCUCUCUAUUUCUAAACACACACACACACACUACACACACUGAGGGAGGGUGUGUGUGUGUCUGUGCGUGUGGGCGAUGGAAUUUGAUUGCCCCGAGGCAGCAAAACGGAAUUGGGUGGAUGCAGAGCAAUGGCAGGAAGGAGUGCAGAAGAUUAGUGUGGAGGAUAAAAGCAGCAAUAAAGAAGGCAAUGAGGAAAGGAAGCAGACAGCACUUGAGAUUUCAGUAUGAUCCUCAUAGUUAUGCCCUCAACUUUGAUGAUGGAAGUCACCAAGCAGAUUUUCCCCUUGAAAAAUUUAGAGAUACAGUUUUCAUUUAUGUUGUGUGGCUGGAGUGAGUCCAAGGAGGUGGCUGCAAUUUGCUUUGCUAUAUAGCUGCUAGUAUAUGAGUAUCUCAUCUUUGUCUACCCCCUUUUUUUUCAAUGCAUGGGGAAAUUUACCCAUUUUGGGUUUUAUUUAUUUUUAUAUGUUUUGGGGUAAUGUUAUUGCAAGAUGAGAGUUGAUGAUGUGUUUUUUUCGGAAAUUACUUAAAGUUUUUGAGGAAAAA